rnacentral:rRNA from 1 species
GAUGAACGCUGGCGGCGUGCCUAAUACAUGCAAGUCGAGCGAACGGACGAGAAGCUUGCUUCUCUGAUGUUAGCGGCGGACGGGUGAGUAACACGUGGAUAACCUACCUAUAAGACUGGGAUAACUUCGGGAAACAGGAGCUAAUACCGGAUAAUAUUUUGAACCGCAUGGUUCAAAAGUGAAAGACGGUCUUGCUGUCACUUAUAGAUGGAUCCGCGCUGCAUUAGCUAGUUGGUAAGGUAACGGCUUACCAAGGCAACGAUGCAUAGCCGACCUGAGAGGGUGAUCGGCCACACUGGAAGUGAGACACGGUCCAGACUCCUACGGUAGGCAGCAGUAGGGAAUCUUCCGCAAAGGGCGAAAGCCUGACGGAGCAACGCCGCGUGAGUGAUGAAGGUCUUCGGAUCGUAAAACUCUGUUAUUAGGGAAGAACAUAUGUGUAAGUAACUGUGCACAUCUUGACGGUACCUAAGCAGAAAGCCACGGCUAACUACGUG